ACGGGUCAAAAAUUCCGUUGAACCGGUUCUCGGUGGAAGAACCGAAUGUUCCGGUUGCUUCCCUUCUCACAGGCGGUUCGCUGUGCGCCGUCCGCCCGGCUCGAAUCGGCCGGAGUCCCGUCCCGAUGAAUCGAUCUGUCGUCUCCACCUCCCUCUCUGCCCGGUUCUUCAGUUGAUACGCAGCGGAUCGAGGAGUAUUACGUCGAGGAAUCGACUGUUUUAGAAUCGAUUCUCCUCUUCGACCUUGACUCGCUGGGAUGGGGAGGUGGAGGGGUUUAGGCGAUUCACAGAACCGAUCGGCGGAGCAGUUCCAGUUUUUGAUUCUUCCCUCCAGAUGCUACAGCGAAUUGUAUGUAUAACCGGAUCAAUUAGUGCAAGGGUUCACAGAUGUUACCGGCUCUGUUGCUUGCGCUUCAUAGGAUGAUUGGUUCCUCUAUCGCUGAUUUCUUCGAGGGUAACAGGACUACCGGCAGCCAUCUCUCCGAAAGAAUCCUCCUCGUCUGAGUGCUCUGCUGAUCUACUCGAACUGGAUAAGAGAUCCUCUGUCCCGAAAAUACCGUGUCUCUGUGUCCCAGCGUCGAUCAGACGGUGUUGUUUUAAUUUUAAAAAAUAAAACAAACAUCAUUAAAAGAAAAGGAUAAUAAUUAAUAAGGGCUCCUUUUUAUUUUAUAGCCCUUCUUUAUUUUUCUCUAAAAUAAAAUGUGUUUUCUAAUAAAUAUACGGAUUAAUUUUAGACUUUUGUGAAUACAAAACAAAAGAAAUGUGCUUUUAACUCCUACCCUCACGCCUUUGCAAGAACUAACAUUCCAAAA